CGAGGCUGCGGGCGCUGCCAGGCCGGGCAGCCCAGCCGCCACCUCGCAAAUUCGGGGGCCGGAGCAUCUCCGCCCGCAACUUCUCUCGCCCACUUGCAUCACACCGGCACGGCUUUCACGGCCAGUGCAAAGCAUGGCCCGAUAAAAUGCUGUUUCCUCCCCUUGUGCCCUCCCUUAGCCCCUCCACAAGAGGCACAAGGCAGCGCCUGCUGAUGCUGCUGGAAAUCAGGCUCAGGGUAUUUGCUGGCAGGGGUGCUGUUAUUAUCAAAGCUGUGGCUCUGACCCACACUCCAUUAAAAAUCAUCAUCAUCUGAAAUACCAACUUCUGCCUGUCUUUGCAGGUAUUUUCAGUCUGCAAGGGAAAACCCACGCAACAUUUAAGUGAUGUAUGUGCACAUCUUUGGUCUCUCUAGUGCAAGGCACAAGAGCAUCUCACUACAAUUUGGUAUGGUUGUGUUUCAAUGAGGGCCCAUUUUCAAAUUUUGCUCAAAGAACCAAUAACUCCCACCAAAAAAACUGAAUUGGUCAACCAGAGUUUGCUAAAUAUUAAUUUCCAACACAGCCAUCAUCUUUUGACGAGGCCAACUACAAAUUCCAAGUGAACACAGAAUCCAAACCUCCCACGCAGGGCUGGGCAGAGAUGGUUUGGAAAUCUGCAUUUCUUUGUUAGUGAAGGCAGUUCCUGCGUUUCCUUCUGCACCUUCACAACCCAUGCUCUCUAUCCACAAACAUUUGAAGCAAACAUACCUUUUUUCUGCUCAUCCAUAGCACCUCCCAUAUGAGACAGGAUAGGGAGCAGCCCAAAUUUUGAAGUGAGGAAUGCUCCGGAUGGAUGGAUGGAUGGAUGGAUGGAUUGGAUGGAUGGAUGGAUGGAUGGAUGGAUGGAUGGAUGGAUGAGAGGCCAGUCUCAUUUAUAACUGAUUCACAGAGUGUUUUCAUGUGCAGAGCAUUCCCAGAAGUUCACUCCUUAGCACUUCAGUUCCCUCAGCACCUCUCUCUUAAUGUACUUCUCCAGACAUAGGAAGCAUUUCUGCUCUGCAAAGACAAGAUUUCAUUAAGCUGUGGGGGUUUUAACACAAGAGGAGGUGCCAUUUUGAUUUACUUCUCUGAUUCACACCAGAAAAGGUCCAGAUCCACCUCUUUGUCUGAUGUAACAGUCAUGAACACUGAUUUUCUCACCUUCCUUCACAGAUGCAAGACCACUCGAGCCCCAGUGACCAUCUAAGUGUGUGCUUGCAAAAGAAACACCAGAGACCAAUCUGUUCAUGAACCAGCCACACGAUUUUCAGGCUGGCAGAUAAACUUGAAACCAGCUUGCACAAGCCUGAAUCCUGCAGGGAACAGUAAGGAGCAAUGUCAGCUUCAGGAUCUGAGCAAGGUAUCCUGCUUCACGACUUUGAGGAUUUCUCCUGGCUGACCUUCACAUCCAUCCUGCCCCUCUGCCCCUGGUGACUGGGGGAGAAGAAAACUGCAGUACUGGGGCUGAACACACCUGGCAUUGGCAGCAGGGCACUUCCACAGCCAGGGAGUACCCAGAAGAGCUCGCUGUUCAUCUCUCAGACUUUGGUUUCACUUCUCUGCCUUGCAGCUCUGCACAAACAGCUGGGAAGUGCAUCAGCUCUCCAGUUCUUAUCUGCCCUCUCUCACACUUGGAAAUGCAGCAGCCUUUCCCAAGCCAAAAUGCAAAAUGCUGGUGAGGAACAAGGAUUUAUCUGCUCUAUCACAGCAGGUAUAGAACAAGAGUGACAUGAAGGCAGGUUAUAUGCCUGGUCCCACUGCUCCCAGCUCCUCUACACCAGGCAAGACAUUUCUGUUUUUACAAAAGGCAAGCUGGGAAGUCAGCCUGUGAGUGAUUCUGUCUUUCCCCCACCACAAAGCUGGUAAAAAGGCACACUGUGAAAAGGAAAUCUGUUAUUGUUGUUGUUUGUUUUGGGGGUUUUUGUUUGGGGUUUUUUUUUGUUUUGUUUUUUUAAAGGGAGCCAUUUAACAUACAGUCAACUCCUAUGACAAAAUAAAGUUGUUAUGAGAAAAAUUACAGAGAAAAAUUACCUGGGAUCAGAAGCCCGGAAAUUCCAGGUGCCUGCAGUGCAGCUACCAUUUUGCACAACAGAAGUGAAGUAUUGGAUAUUAUACAUGUUUAUGCUAUUUUUGUAGGAAUACUUUAUUUUUUCAAUCUAUUUUUCAAAAUACUUUCCUUUUUUUCCCCAUGAUUUUCUUUAAUCCAAAAUAAAGUAACUUUGCUUAAAGGGCUACAGUCAACCAAAA